AUGGAGCCUAAAGUGGCGGAUUUAGGAUUGUCAAGGCUCUUCACUCAAUCAUACACUCAUGUCACAGAAAAAGCCAUAGGAACCCGGAAGUACAUGCCACCAGAAUUCAUAAAGUAUCGCAUAAUCUCACCUAAGAAUGAUGUUUUUAGUUUGGGUGUUGUAAUGAUAGAGAUAAUGACAGCACCUGCAAGUUACUCCAAUUCUCUUGAAGUGGGCAAUGUGGCACAAUUAAUGCAGCAGGUACACAUCAAAUUACCGAUCGGAGGAAAUACGUCAGCUGGAGACGUGUAUCAAAUUAGCAAUACGUUGUGUGGAUUCUGA
rnacentral:rRNA from 1 species